CUGCAACUCGCCUGCAUGAAGCCGGAAUUGCUAGUAAUCGCGGAUCAGCAUGCCACGGUGAAUACGUUCCCGGGCCUCGUACACACCGCCCGUCACACCACGAGAGUUUGUAACACCCGAAGUCGGUGCGGUAACCUUUUGGAGCCAGCCGCCGAAGGUGGGACAGAUGAUUGGGGUGAAGUCGUAACAAGGUAUCCCUACCGGAAGGUGGGGAUGGAUCACCUCCUUUCUAAGGAG
rnacentral:rRNA from 1 species